AUAGCCAUACACUGACAACUGCUGGAUUCAUCAAAAAGUCCAAUGAACUGUGAUGAUGGCAGCUACAUCUCCCUGAAAAAUCAGCACAAUUCCUACCACUGUGACUGAAUAUUACUUAGACAAAACAAAUGUUCAGGGACUCACUUGUGAGUGAUUAAGCAGUUCUGACUGAACCAUCGACUGAGAAGUAUGCUUUGGACUCAUGGUUCUUUGGUGCCCACAGGUGUAAAUUUAAGAGCUGAUGAACAGAACGGCUCUGGAGAUAGUGAUGUUGUUCGCUCCAAUGACUUUGGUAAUCCCUUGAUAUUUCAUCUAGCACCACCAGCAGGUCAGAAAUUCCAGAAAGCUCAUCUCCUCCACAGCCCCAAGUAAGGAGAGCUCAGCCCCGGGCCGGAGGGAGUUUCGGUGCAUUCAUCUCCAAGCGUGAUCAUGAAUCUGAGCCGGAAAACGCAGCUGGAUUUGGCAGAUGAAAAACUUUGAAAUUGAGUUUGACAGUGUUGGAGUAGCAGUGAGUGAUACUUAAUACCACGGAGAGGAAAGAGAGGACAGAAGAUGAGGUGAGUGAUGCUGCGGCUCUAGAUUGUUUGUGCCUCCAUGCUGGGAGGCAUUUCUGCCAGAUAGAAAUAAACAAAAGGCUAAAUGCAAUGUGCACACGUACAUACAUGCACACUGACACACAUACCAUAUACACGGCAUGGAUGGAUUACUGCACAGGCCUACUUAGGACAGGUCCGGGGGCCCAAGUGGUGAGGGGUCCCCAAACCAGAACCUCUGUUUAAAGUGACUGUUAUUUACUGUAAUUGUCUUGUUGGAAAGUCAAAAAGCUCUGUCAAAAGUAGGGAUGUCCUUAUGUAUUGUAAAUAUAUUUGCUCCUGAUCCAUGUAAUAUUGAGUGUCUCCUAAUCCUGUUUUGAAAAUACAAAAUGUAUCACUGGUUUCCUGUAAUAUUAUGUACAGUGUCCUAUAGUUUGUUCAGCUUCAGAAACAUUGGAUCCUACUAUUCCCAUAAUGCGACUGAACAGCAUCUUUCAUUUGACCUUUCCUAACUGUGAAAUGCCCUCAUCUUUCAAACUCCAUCCCAGUUAUAUAAUACAGGUGUUUGGCCAAAUAUUUGAUGGCCUAAACUGAGAUACCACUGAUGACAUAAUUAGCAUCAUUAUCUCCCUCCAGAGCCAUAGAAGACAUUAUACAACAGCAGUAUUCUCCAUGACGAGUAAACUGACCUUUCUGUGUAAAAGGGGUGGAGGGCCCCUUGAAAUUAUUCGAAUACAACAAUCUGAGAAGGAAGAAACCAUCUAUGUUCACAAGCACACCUUUGUAUUUUUCUAAGCAUACAUACAGAAAAUAAUCACUCAUUCUGAUUGAUAACACUCAUUACACAUACUUAAAUGAGCCACUGUACAUAAGCACGCACACACACACACGCAAACAGUAUGAGUCAGUAUCAAACAGACACACAUGUAUUUUAAAAAAGAAAAGGAAGAACAAAAGGAAACUGGAAAAUGCAUUUUUCUGCACGAAAUGCAUGUGAACGCUGACAGCUGAAGUAAAUCGCAAAGCAUUGCUGAAAAUGCAGAAAUCUGAAAUGAAUUUUGCGUGAAAAAGCUGAAAGCUCAAAUGCACUGCACUGCAGCUGAAAAACCUGGAAGCUGAAAAAAUGUAAAACUGGCAGAACUGGAAGCUGUACUGCAUUAUCUUAAGAAGCUUAGAGUUUAAAUAAAUUGCUAGAAAAGCUGGAAGCUAAACUUUAAUACUGUCAAAGCUGGAAGUUGAAAUAAAUUGCCUGAAAAGGCUGAAAGAAUUAUUAUUGGAUCUAUUUUAUUGUUUUUUAUGUUUAUUCUUUUUAUACUGUUUACAUUUGUCAUGUCUUAUUA